UCCCUGGGGGUCCAGUGGUUAGGACUCUGCACUCCCAAUGCAGGGGGCCUGGGUUCAAUCCCUGGUCAGGGAA
rnacentral:tRNA from 1 species